UGGAACUGACACAUAGUUGGCACUGGCAA
rnacentral:piRNA from 1 species